UAAUUGACGGAAUUAAGACCUUCCACUCACCUUUCUGUAAUAUGCUUUCAUACAGCUCUCAAUGAAGAGCCAGGUUAUUUUGCUGUGGUACAUUUCUAUUCAAAAUCCUUUUUCUUUGGUCUUUAAUGUUUUAAUUUUCUGGGAAGCUAAAAUUUGGGUCUUUAGUAGCUGUAAAGAAUCAUUAAAACUGCCAGAAAUAAGCACUUUUACUGUUUUAAAUCUUAGAAGUUUCACUUUUCCGUUAAAUUUCUUAAAUACCAUUUUGAUAGUUUAGGUUUGAUGCACUUUUGAUGAAGUGGCGAGUAAAUAUGUUGUUUUUGAUUUUAUUUUUGUGUUUUCAUCAGGGAACGACUGUUGUAUUGUGUAGUAUGUAUGGAACCAAGGCCUCUACUUCGUGUGACUCCAGCAACCAUUACAAAACAAUGUCUAUUAGAAGUAAUGACUAAGACUAAUCCUAAUAGCACCUGUGUGAUUUAUGAUUCAAUAUUUCCCCUUACAGCUGCAGAUGAAAAGAAACCUUUUUUUUUCUAAAGAUAGCUCCGAGUAACUUCUCAUGUGUAAAUAUAACAGGGUCUGGGAAAAGAUUGGGAAAUCUUUCAGACACCAUGUGUACUGCUGUAAUCAAUGUAAACAAUGACUUUAACCCUGUUUCUCGUUCAGAUGUUGGUGGUGGUGCGGGGACGACAGACUUUUUGAUAGAUUACCUCGAAAGGUGACAGGGUUUUGUGCAUUAGUUUCCUUAUUGUUACCUGUGUCUGUCUAUCCUAUGUCCGCAAAAGAUCUAAUUCACACCUUAUCUAGCAUUUUGCCACAGCAGUGGUAUCAUUUAGAGAAACGCGAACUAACAUGGAAAAAUUAUGAUGAUCCCACGUACAUCGCCGCCAUCGGCGUCCCUCGCGGUGUACCUGAUGCAUAUAAAUUAGUCGACCAAAUUUCAGCUGGUUUUGAAUCUUCAAUUUGUUGGUGGUGUACGAUAAACAAAAACGUAGACAGAAUCAAUUACAUCCAUUACAACGUGCAAAAACUGGGCAACUGGACACAGGCUGGUUUCGAGGCGGUGCACGAGCAGCUGGCCGCUACCUCACUGAUGGCUUUCCAAAGCCGCAUUGCUCUUGACAUGCUGCUAGCUGAAAAAGGGGGGGGUGUGUGCUAUCUUUGGAGGAAGGUGCUGCACAUUUCUGCCAAACACAGCAGCUAACGGGAGCCUGACGAAGGCCAUUGUGGGUCUCCGUACCUUUAAUGGCAAAAUGACAGAACUCUCUGGUGUGAAUACUUCCAUGUGGGAUGCAUGGAUGGAUGUUUUUGGGAGAGUACCGAACCCUUGUGUCCUCUGUCUUAGUAUCAAUUGCAGUCUUUGCUGCAAUUUUAACCUUGUGUGGAUGUUGUUGUAUUCCUUGCCUGCGUUCCUUGUUUAACCGUCUCAUUACCACAGCAAUCUCUCCCAUGGAAGACCAGAAGGCACAGAUGUAUCCUUUGUUAGCAAAACAUCCUGAGCCUGA